GGCAAUGUGGUCUAGUGGCAAGGGCACGUGCCUGGAAGUCAGAGAACCUGGAUUCUAAUCCCGGCGCUGCCA
rnacentral:tRNA from 1 species